UUUGUCCACUAAUUAUGGACCUGUAUGAAAGGCCACAUGAGAAUCUAACUGUCUCUUGUAAUUAAUUUAUAAAACUGAUCUUCUAGUACAAAAGCUAGAAUAUACAUAUAAGACGAGAAGACCCUGUGAAGCUUAAAAAAUCCCAUUUAAAUCUACUAAUGGGUAUUUUUAGUUGGGGCAACUUUGGAAAACAACCUAACUUCCAAACGAAGAGAAAAACACCCACCAAGACCCACAAGUCAAUCAAGACCCAGUAUAACUGAUAAAUGAACCAAGUUACUCCAGGGAUAACAGCGCAAUCUUCUUCAAGAGCCCAUAUCAAAAAGAAGGUUUACGACCUCGAUGUUGGAUCAGGACACCCAAAUGGCGCAGCCGCUAUUAAAGGUUCGUUUGUUCAACGAUUAACAGU
rnacentral:rRNA from 1 species